UAGAGUUUGAUCAUGGCUCAGAACGAACGCUGGCGGCAUGCCUAACACAUGCAAGUCGAACGAAGGCUUCGGCCUUAGUGGCGCACGGGUGCGUAACGCGUGGGAAUCUGCCCUUAGGUUCGGAAUAACAGCUGGAAACGGCUGCUAAUACCGGAUGAUAUCGCGAGAUCAAAGAUUUAUCGCCUGAGGAUGAGCCCGCGUUGGAUUAGGUAGUUGGUGGGGUAAAGGCCUACCAAGCCGACGAUCCAUAGCUGGUCUGAGAGGAUGAUCAGCCACACUGGGACUGAGACACGGCCCAGACUCCUACGGGAGGCAGCAGUGGGGAAUAUUGGACAAUGGGCGAAAGCCUGAUCCAGCAAUGCCGCGUGAGUGAUGAAGGCCCUAGGGUUGUAAAGCUCUUUUACCCGGGAAGAUAAUGACUGUACCGGGAGAAUAAGCCCCGGCUAACUCCGUGCCAGCAGCCGCGGUAAU
rnacentral:rRNA from 1 species